AUGCACCUCGCAUUUCUCAUCCUCACGCCCUUCCUGAGCCAGAUCCAGGGCACCACAGGGCAGACCACAGUCAUGCAGGAAGGUGGACCAGUCAUGGUGAAGCAGGGACAGCCCUUCCAAACCACCUGCAAAUACCAGACCAGUAUUAAUGCCUUGCUCUGGUACCAGCUGCGGGACGGCCAAGUCCCAGAGCUGCUCUCCUAUCAGUCAGGGCCUGGCCCCAGGCACAGCGGCCGUUUCACCACGGAUCUGAACACCACGGGCAAAUACAGUGUCCUGCGGGUGGAGGAAGUGGAGGUCUCUGACAGUGUCUGCUACCUCUGUGCUGUGCAAGACACCCUGGUGCAGGGAGCUUCCUGA